UACGUAGGUGGCAAGCGUUGUCCGGAUUUAUUGGGUUUAAAGGGUGCGUAGGCGGCUUUGUAAGUCAGUGGUGAAAUAUGGCAGCUCAACUGUCAAGGUGCCAUUGAUGCUGCAGAGCUUGAGUACAGAUGAGGUAGGCGGAAUUGACGGUGUAGCGGUGAAAUGCUUAGAUAUCGUCAAGAACACCUAUAGCGAAGGCAGCUUACUAGGCUGUAACUGACGCUGAGGCACGAAAGUGUGGGGAUCAAACAGG
rnacentral:rRNA from 1 species